GUAAUCCGUCAAUUUAGUCCCUAAAUUAUCACUCUCUCACCAAUUCAGUCCCUAAACUAUUAAAACCAACUAAAAGGUCCCUAAACUAUUUUUCAUCCAUCAAUUAGGUCCCUAAACUAUUUUCCAUCCAUCAAUUUAGUCCUCCGUUAUCUUUUCUGUUAACUGUUCUUUAAAACCCUAAAAUCCAAAAGCUAUUUUUACGCUUAUAUCUCUCUUCUCGAUCAACUCUCUCAACUCCAUUAAUUUAGUCCUC
rnacentral:lncRNA from 1 species